UACGGGAGGCAGCAGUGGGGAAUAUUGCACAAUGGGCGCAAGCCUGAUGCAGCCAUGCCGCGUGUAUGAAGAAGGCCUUCGGGUUGUAAAGUACUUUCAGUCGUGAGGAAGGUGUUAAGGUUAAUAACCUUAGCAAUUGACGUUAGCGACAGAAGAAGCACCGGCUAACUCCGUGCCAGCAGCCGCGGUAAUACGGAGGGUGCGAGCGUUAAUCGGAAUUACUGGGCGUAAAGGGCACGCAGGCGGUUAAUUAAGUUGGAUGUGAAAUCCCCGGGCUUAACCUGGGAAUGGCAUUCAAGACUGGUUAGCUAGAGUCUUGUAGAGGGGGUAGAAUUCCGAUGUGUAGCGGUGAAAUGCGUAGAGAUGUGGAGGAAUACCGGGUGGCGAAGGCGGCCCCUGGGACAAAGACUGACGCUCAUGUGCGAAAGCGUGGGGAGCAAACGAGGAUUAGAUACC
rnacentral:rRNA from 1 species